GUUUAGACACACCUACUCAUUCAAAGGUUUUUCUUUAUUUUUACUAUUUUCUACAUUUUAGAAUAAUAGUGAAGACAUCGAAACUAUGAAAACAACACAUAUGGAAUUAUGUAGUAACUAAAAAAGUGCUAAACAAAUCAAAAUAUAUUUUAUGUUUGAGAUUCUUCAAAGUUGCCACCCUUUGCCUUGAUGACAGCUUGGACCACGCUUGGCAUUCUCUCAACUAGCUUCACCUGGAAAUCUUUUCCAACAUUCUUGAAUGAGUUCCCACAUAUGCUGAGCACUUGUUGGCUGCUUUUCCUUCACUCUGCGGUCCAACUCAUCCCAAACCAUCUCAAUUGGGUUGAGGUCGGGUGAUUGUGGAGGCCAGGUCAUCUGAUGCAGCACUCCAUCACUCUCCUUCUUGGUCAAAUAGCCCUUACACAGCCUGGAGGUGUGUUGGGUCAUUGUCCUGUUGAAAAAAAAUAUAUAGUCCCACUAAACGCAACCAGAUGGGAUGGUGUAUCGCUGCAGAAUGCUGUGGUAGCCAUGCUGGUUAAGUGUGCCUUGAAUUCUAAAUAAAUCACUGACAGUGUCACCAGCAAAGCACCCCCACACCAUAACACCUCCUCCAUGCUUCACGGUGGGAACCACACAUGCAGAAAUCAUCUGUUCACCUAUUCUGCGUCUCACAAAGACACGGCGGUUGGAACCAAAAAUCUCACAUUUGGACUCAUCAGACCAAAGGACAGAUUUCCACAGGUCUAAUGUCCAUUGCUCGUGUUUCUUGGCCCAAGCAAGUCUCUUCUUAUUAUUGGUGUCCUUUAGUAGUGGUUUCUUUGCAGCAAUUUGACCAUGAAGGCCUAAUUCACACAGUCUCCUCUGGUCAGUUGAUGUUGAGAUGUGUCUGUUACUUGAACUCUGUGAAGCAUUAAUUUGGGCUGCAAUUUCUGAGGCUGGUAACUCUAAUGAACUUACCCUCUGUAGCAGAGGUAACUCUGGGUCUUCCUUUCCUGUGGUUGUCCUCAUGAGAGCCAGUUUCAUCAUAGGGUUUGAUGGUUUUUGCAACUGCACUUGAAGAAACUUUCAAAGUUCUUCAAAUUCUCCGCAUUGACUGACCUUCAUGUCUUAAAGUAAUGAUGGACUGUCGUUUCUCUUUGCUUAUUUGAGCUGUUCUUGCCGUAAUAUGGACCUGGUCUUUUACCAAAUACGGCUAUCUUCUGUAUACCAACCCUACCUUGUCACAACACAACUGAUUGUCUCAAAGCCGUUAAGAAGGAAAGAAAUUACACAAAUUUACUUUUAACAAGGCACACCUGUUAAUUGAAAUGCAUUCCAUGAAGCAUUCCAUUCUCAUGAAGCUAGUUGAGAGAAUGCCAACAGUGUGCAAAGCUGUCAUCAAGGCAAAGGGUGGCUACUUUGAAGAAUCUCAAAUAUAUAAUAUUUUUUUAUUUGUUUAGCAGUUUUUUGGUUUCUACGUGAAUCCAUAAGUGUUAUUUCAUAGUUUUGAUAUCUUCACUAUUAUUCUACAAUGUAGAAAGUUGUAAAAAUAUAGAAAAACCCUUGAAUGAGUAGGUGUGUCCAACAUUUUGACUGAUACUGUGCACAAAAUAUAAACACAACAUGUAAAGUGUUGGUCCCAUGUUUCUUGAGCUAAAUUUUUCAAAGAAAUGUUCCAUACGCACAAAAAACUUUUUUUCUCUAAAAUGUUGUGCACACAUUUUUUUACAUCCCUGUUAGUGAGCAUUUCUCCUUUGUCAAAAUUAUCCAUCCACCUGACAGGUGUGGCAUAUCAAGAAGCUGAUUAAACAGCAUGAUCGUUACACAGGUGCACCUUGUGCUGGGGACAAUAAAAUGCCACUCUAAAAUGUGUAGUUUUGUCACACAACACAAUACCACAGAUGUCUCAAGUUUUGAGAGAGCGUGCAUAUUGGCAUGCUGACUGCAGGAAUGUCCACCAGAGCUGUUGCCAGAGAAUUGAACAUUCAUUUCUCAACCAUAAGCCGCCUCCAACAUCAUUUGAGAGAACCGCAGACAACCGUUGACCACGUGUAUUGCGUCAUGUGGGGGAGCGGUUUGCUGAUGUCAACGUUGUGAACAGAAUGUGCCCCAUGGUGGAGGUGGGGUUAUGGUAUGGGCCCCAUGGUGGAGGUGGUGUUAUGGUAUGGGCCCCAUGGUGGAGGUGGGGUUAUGGUAUGGGCCCCAUGGUGGAGGUGGUGUUAUGGUAUGGGCCCCAUGGUGGAGGUGGGGUUAUGGUAUGGGCCCCAUGGUGGAGGUGGUGUUAUGGUAUGGGGCAGGCAUAAGCUACGGACAACAAACAAAAUUGCAUUUUAUCAAUGGAAAUUUGAAUGCACAGAGAUACCGUGAUGAGAUCCUGAGGCCCAUUGUAAGUAAUAAUAGAAACAUAAAACAUAUAGUCACUUAUUUAGAAAGUAUUCAUACUCCUUGACUUAUUAUACAUUUUGUUGUGUUACAUCCUGAAUUCAAAAAAUAUUAAAUGUAGAUGUAUUUUCUCGCCCAUCUACAUACAAUACCUCAUAAAGACAAAGUGAAAACUUGUUUGUAGCUUUUUUUUGUUGUAAAUUUGUUGCAAAUUAAAUUAAAAAAUAUCUAAUUUACGUAAGUAUUCACUCCCCUGGGUCAAUACGUGUUAGAAUCACUCUUGGCAGCAAAUCACCUUUGGGGCAGCUGCGUGGCCUAGUGGUUAGAGUGUUGGACUAGUAACCAGGAGGUUGCAAGAUCAAAUCUGCAAGUUUGAAUCCCUAAGCUGACAAGGUAAAAAUCUGUUGUUCUGAACAAGGCAGUUAACCCACUGUUCCUAGGCUUUCAAUGAAAAUAAGAAUUUGUUCUUAACUGACUUGCCUGGUUAAAUAAAAACCUUUGGCAGUGAUUACAGAUAUGAGUCUUUCUGGGUCUAAGAGCUUUGCACAUUAUUAUUUUUUAAAUUCUUCAAGCUCUGUCAAGUUGGUUUUUGAUCAUUGCUAGACAGCAAUUUAAGUCAAAACUGUAACUCGGCCACUCAGGAACAUUCAGUGUCAUCUUGGAAAGCAAGUCCAGUGUAGAUUUGGCGUUGUGUUUUAGGUUAUUGACCUGCUGAACAGAGAAUUAGUCUUUGUGUCUGUUGGAAAUCAGACUGAAACAGGAUUUUGCCUGUGCUUAGCUUUAUUCCGUUUCUUUGUAUCCUUAAUGCCGAUGACAAGCAUACCCAUAACAUGAUGCAGCCACCACCAUGCUUAAACGUAUGAAGAGUGGUACGGAGUAAUGUGUUGUAUUCACCCCAAACAUAACACUUUGUGUUCAGAACAUAAAGUUUGUUUCUUAGCCACAUUUCUUUGCAGUUUUCCUUUAGUGCCUUGUUGCCACAUUUUUUGCAGUAAUACUUCAGUGCCUUGUUGCAAACAGGAUGGAUGUUUUGGAAUAUUUGUAUUCUGUACAGGCUUCCUUCUUUUCACUCUGUCAUUUAGGUUAGUAUUGUGAAGUAACUACAAUGUUGUUGAUCCAUCUUCAGUUCUCUCCUACCACAGCCAUUAAACUCUGUAACUGUUUUAAAGUCACCAUUGGCCUCAUGGUGAAAUCCCUGAGCGGUUUCCUUCCUGUCCGGCAACUGAGUUAGAAGAUACGCCUAUAUCUUUGUAGUGACUGGGUGUAUUGAUACACCAUCCAAAGUGUAAUUGACUUCACCAUGCUGAAAGUGACUCAAUGUCUGCUUUUUUAAAUUGACCCGUCUACCAACAGGUGCCCUUCUUUGCGAGGCAUUGGAAAACCUCCCUGGUCUUUAUGGUUGAAUCUGUGUUUGAAAUUCCCUGCUCGACUGAGGGACCUUACAGAUAAUUGUGUGUGUGGGGGUACAGAGAUGAAGUCCAACUUAUUAUGUGACUAGUUAAGCACAUUACUACUCCUGAAAUGAUUUAGGCUUCCCAUAACACUUUUUGACUGACUCAAGACAUUUCACUCUCUGCAGUAAAUCAUCUGCUCUACAGUAAAUCAUCCGCUCUGCUGUAAAUCAUCUGCUCUACAGUAAAUCAUCCUCUCUGCAGUAAAUCAUCUGCUCUACAGUAAAUCAUCCGCUCUGCAGUAAAUCAUCCGCUCUACAGUAAAUCAUCCUCUCUGCAGUAAAUCAUCCGCUCUGCAGUAAAUCAUCCUCUCUGCAGUAAAUCAUCCGCUCUACAGUAAAUCAUCCGCUCUCCAGUAAAUCAUCUGCUCUACAGUAAAUCAUCCGCUCUGCAGUAAAUCAUCCGCUCUACAGUAAAUCAUCCUCUCUGCAGUAAAUCAUCCGCUCUGCAGUAAAUCAUCCUCUCUGCAGUAAAUCAUCCGCUCUACAGUAAAUCAUCCGCUCUACAGUAAAUCAUCCUCUCUGCAGUAAAUCAUCUGCUCUACAGUAAAUCAUCCGCUCUACAGUAAAUCAUCCUCUCUGCAGUAAAUCAUCUGCUCUACAGUAAAUCAUCCGCUCUGCAGUAAAUCAUCUGCUCUGCAGUAAAUCAUCCUCUCUGCAGUAAAUCAUCUGCUCUGCAGUAAAUCAUCCUCUCUGCAGUAAAUCAUCCUCUCUGCAGUAAAUCAUCUGCUCUACAGUAAAUCAUCCGCUCUGCAGUAAAUCAUCUGCUCUGCAGUAAAUCAUCCUCUCUGCGGUAAAUCAUCCGCUCUGCAGUAAAUCAUCUGCUCUGCAGUAAAUCAUCCUCUCUGCAGUAAAUCAUCUGCUCUGCAGUAAAUCAUCCUCUCUGCAGUAAAUCAUCCGCUCUGCAGUAAAUCAUCUGCUCUACAGUAAAUCAUCCGCUCUGCAGUAAAUCAUCUGCUCAAUCAAUUACAUUCAUCGCUAGUUUCUUAGCAACAGUUUGGUGAGAAUGAAAAGCGUGUAAAACUAUUUCGAAAUGAAUCCUCUGCUUGUCUCUUUUCAAUUAUCAGCCCUGUGAAUACAUUCAAUUAUCAGCCCUGUGAAUGCAUUCAAACCCAUGAGAGGUGAUGACACAGACAAAAAUAUAUCUGACAAGAGCGAAGGUUCAGGGAGUCUAUUUUUACCUCGAAGGCCAGGCGUUGUCAAGAGAAUUUGACUAGAGCUUCAGGGAGUCUAGUAUAAUUCUGAAGGCUAGGUGUUUGAACAAGUGAAAUAAAGUUGUAUGAUUUGAUACUCUAUUAUAACUGAUUUGAAUGUAAUUCCUGUAGUUUUUCCAAUUUGGAGAUUAUCUAACAAGUUUUUGUUUUUCAAAGCAGACUUUGACAGACAUUGAAAAUCCCCCCUCAUUCCCUCCAAACAUCUAACUUUGGUGGCUGUUUAGUGUUAAAUGUCCUAGGGACAUUUUAAUGACAAAAUAUGUAGUGUCAGUCGGAAAAAUCAUAGUUUGAAAAAUCUCGAAACAGACCAGCCAAAAAAACGAAUCUGGCAAUGUUGGGGUUGGGGGAACACAGAGGCUAGUCACUGCAGGCCUUGCAGAAGGUAAAUACAUCCACACAGAUUAUUGGCAGUUUGUUGCUGAACCAGGGCCAAUACUGGAUGAUUAAAAUGAUAUAAUGCUGAUUGGAACUUUUACAACUACAGUAGUUAAUGAAAAUGAAAAGCCUUCUAUUGGAGUGGAACCAAUCCCACUCACUACAACAACAUCAGGUAGCCUAGUGGUUACAGAGCGUUGGACUAGUAACCGGAAGGUUGUAAGAUCAAAUCCCCGAGCUGACGAGUUAAAACCUUCCUGGGUUUUGUGGGUGAUUAUAUUUUGAGUAGUGUUUGUUUCUCUCUGCGUCACGGUUUGUUGUGUUUGUAAAUUCAGUUAUUUUGUUGUAUUGAAAAGGU
rnacentral:lncRNA from 1 species